UGAGCGACUCUUUUCCCUACAUCUCCAUGCCCGUUUUCCCUCAAACGGUCGCGCGUGUGCUGACUGCCCUCAACGCAGCCCCGCUAGGUCCCCCACGUUUGCAUGUCAAGUGUUUCUAUGAGUGCUUGUCCCGCUCUGAUACCAUAUGACACGGACUUAGCUGGUUUUGCCUAAGUCGUGCGGCACCCUUGCGUGUCCGUCCGCAAAGGUCAGCCUCCCCGAAGACUCUCAUUGUCCCUUAGGACCAACAAAAGAGAGAACAGGCAAAAGAGAAUGCCUCAAUCGGGAUCCACAAGCAAACAUGUCCGAAAAACACUUCAUAGACAAUGCAAAUUACAAACAGACUUUACAAGCUCUGAACAGUGGCACAACAAAGGGUAAAAUGGUCCAUUACAGACCGAAAAGCUCUCGCACGUGUCCACAUGACACAACCUUUAUUUACAAGCCUAAAGAGACCACCACCCAACUAAAAUGGGACUUAUAAGCCUUCGGCCGCCCCUUUACAUUCUGUACAGGGCAUGAACAUGCCAAAAGACACGGACACACAUAAGCAUUACAUCCAACAUCUUGUUGAGAAGUUUGUCUGUGACAUCCUGGUGACAUCUCCAUUGCAUUCUGAUCCUUGUGGAAUAAACUCGAAUUGUGAACCCUCCAUGUGUGUGGCCUCUGCCAAUACAUCACAGGGACUCCUCCACCUUCGAUUUUGUUUGCUCCUUUGGCAAUCGACCUUCAUCCACCCACUCUUGGGUCACACCUAGAUGAAGCACCGCUCUAGGACAGUCCGUCGCCUAGUAGCUCCCGAAGUCCACCGACUUCACUGUAAUUUGUGCACCAUUGUCUAGAUCCUGGGCCUCUGCCCCUACCAGCACAAUCUCCGCUGCGCACUGCCUCCUUCAUAGCAACUCGAAUGGCAACACUGUGGCAUAUUCUUCAAGAGUACCCACCUCUGCGUCCUCUUGCCCCGUGCUAAGGCCCUUCUGAACCCAACUUCGCCUCCGCAAAUUGAGUCGCCUUAGUUCCUCCUUCAAAUGCUUUUCCGAGUUAAGGUGCAUGUGCCGCGAAGCUCCCUUCGUCUUUGGCACCAUGCAUGAUGAGUCCGUUCCGUCAGAAUGAAGGACCCAUGGAACAACAUGAUCCUACUCUUGCCUCUGCAAGAGUUCAUGUCCUUGACCUCUGUAUAAGGAAAGCACUAUGCCUCUGCUCCACGUUCCAACUUCUAUGCUGACUCCCUUCAUGCGGCUUGAGUACUUCGCCAAGUUACACCCAAGUUGCUCCGCUCCUCGUUUUCACAUUGAGUUGAUGGUGGCUCUCGCGCCCACCAUUCCACGGGUCAGCCCCCCUUUGAGUCCGAUCUCCACAUCGACUCCAAGCGUGCCUUCAUUUAAGUUGCUUUGGGUCGCUCCCCCACUUGAUCUCGCAAUGCAUCCACCAAUGCAUUCUCUCAAGCGAGAUCAUGCAACGACUCCUCGCCGCUUGCUCAGUCCAUCGAGCUUCGUGGAGUUGUUGUUUGUUGAGGUACUCCUCCUUAACAUGUGAGAUCCGUCUCACAUGAUUCUCCCUCUAGAGAGCCGGGACUUAUCCCUCCUGGAUAACUACCCCGUUGGAGCAACAUCUCUCUUCGUUUCGGAGACCACCAUCCCCUUGGACUACUCCGAUUUGCUGAAUAAACUGUGCAUUGUUCUGCCUCCUGCAAACGCACUUGCUAGAUUGCGACUCCACGUCAAUACAGCCCCCGUUGCACCCCUCAAGGCCUAGCAACAUGCUGAACUCGUUGCACACUUUAGCCUCCUACGGACGUAUCCUUCACAUGCCGAAGAGAGAGUUUCAAUGCUCCAUGGCGUCGAGUUUCGGUCGUCGUGGGAUGGCCACGAACAUUCCAUCGUCCGCAUACAAGCCCAUGCAUGAGUACCGAAUUCUUUGAGUUAGCAAUUCCCCUCACCUCUGUGAGCUUUACACAACUCUUUCGAUCGUUGAGCAACUCAUUCCACCUUGCAUUGUCUCAUUCUUGCCAAGCGCCUCGCUUGCCUAGAGCACCAUCAAGUAUUGUUGUCAACGUUGAGCCGUAGCUCAAACUCAGUCAUCCCAACCUUUGUGCGCUCCACAUUCGUCCAAGCUUGUCUGUUCUCGUGGUGCCUCUUGCGCGAAGGGUUGGCCAUUCCUCUGAAUGCCAAUCUCAGAUGCCCGAUCCUUUGAGCGACUCCUUCUCCCUACAUCUCCAUGCCCGUUUUCCCCCAAACGGUCGCGCAUGUGCUGACUGCCCUCAACGCAGUCCCACUAGGUCCCCCACGUUUGCAUGCUAAGUGUUUCUAUGAGUGCUUGUCCCGCUCUGAUACCAUAUGACACGGACUUAGCUGGUUUUGCCUAAGUCGUGCGGCACCCUUGCGUGUUCGUCCGUAAAGGUCAGCCUCCCCGAAGCCUCCCAUUGUCCCUUAGGACCACCAAAAGAGAGAACGGGUUAGAGAGAACGCCUCAAUCGGGAUCCACAAGCAAACAUCUAUGAAAAACACUUCAUAGACAAUGUAAAUUACAAACAGACUUUACAAGCUCUGAACAGUGGCACAACAAAGGGUAAAAUGAUCCAUUACAGACCGAAAAGCUCUCGCACGUGUCCACAUGACACAACCUUUAUUUACAAGCCUAAAGAGGCCACCAACCCAACUAAAGUGAGACUAUUAAGCCUUCGGCCGCCCCUCUACAUUCUGUACAGGGCAUGAACAUGCCAAAAGACACGGACAUACAUAAGCAUUACAUCAAACACCUUGUUUAGAAGUUUGUUCGUG
rnacentral:lncRNA from 1 species